rnacentral:piRNA from 1 species
UCCACUCCAUGUGUAAAUAUCCCUGCCUC